rnacentral:rRNA from 1 species
AGUGAACGCUGGCGGUAGGCCUAACACAUGCAAGUCGAACGGCAGCACAGUAAGAGCUUGCUCUUACGGGUGGCGAGUGGCGGGCGGGUGAGGAAUACAUCGGAAUCUACUUUUUCGUGGGGGAUAACGCAGGGAAACUUACGCCAUUACCGCAUACGACCUACGGGUGAAAGCAUGGGAUCUUCGGCCCUUGCGCGAUUGAAUGAGCCGAUGUCGGAUUAGCUAGUUGGCGGGGUAAAGGCCCACCAAGGCGACGAUCCGUAGCUGGUCUGAGAGGAUGAUCAGCCGCACUGGAACUGAGACACGGUCCAGACUCCUACGGGAGGCAGCAGUGGGGAAUAUUGGACAAUGGGCGCAAGCCUGAUCCAGCCAUACCGCGUGGGUGAAGAAGGCCUUCGGGUUGUAAAGCCCUUUUGUUGGGAAAGAAAAGCAGCAGGUUAAUACCCCGCUGUUCUGACGGUACCAAAAGAAUAAGCACCGGCUAACUUCGUG